CCGCGACCUCGAGUUCCGGCCUCCUCCCGUCCGCCUCCUGGCGUCACUUCCCCGGUGCCAGGCGGGACGGGCGGGGACCAGAGUCCGAGGUCGAGCCCCG
rfam:Jatrophihabitans endophyticus strain DSM 45627 genome assembly, contig: Ga0131187_103